rnacentral:rRNA from 1 species
AAGUCGAGCGGAUGAAAGGAGCUUGCUCCUGGAUUCAGCGGCGGACGGGUGAGUAAUGCCUAGGAAUCUGCCUGGUAGUGGGGGACAACGUUUCGAAAGGAACGCUAAUACCGCAUACGUCCUACGGGAGAAAGCAGGGGACCUUCGGGCCUUGCGCUAUCAGAUGAGCCUAGGUCGGAUUAGCUAGUUGGUGAGGUAAUGGCUCACCAAGGCGACGAUCCGUAACUGGUCUGAGAGGAUGAUCAGUCCCACUGGAACUGAGACACGGUCCAGACUCCUACGGGAGGCAGCAGUGAGGAAUAUUGGUCAAUGGGCGCAAGCCUGAACCAGCCAUGCCGCGUGCAGGAUGACGCAUCUAUGGUGUGUAAACUGCUUUUGUACGGGAAGAAACCCUGCCACGUGUGGCAGAUUGACGGUACCGUAAGAAUAAGGAUCGGCUAACUCCGUGCCAGCAGCCGCGGUAAUACGGAGGAUCCAAGCGUUAUCCGGAAUCAUUGGGUUUAAAGGGUCCGUACGCGGUUUUAUAAGUCAGUGGUGAAAUCCGGCAGCUCAACUGUCGAACUGCCAUUGAUACUGUAGGACUUGAAUUAUUGUGAAGUAACUAGAAUAUGUAGU